AGGACGAACGCUGGCGGCGUGCUUAACACAUGCAAGUCGAACGGAAAGGCCCUUUCGGGGGUGCUCGAGUGGCGAACGGGUGAGUAACACGUGGGUGAUCUGCCCUGCACUUUGGGAUAAGCCUGGGAAACUGGGUCUAAUACCGGAUAGGACUACGGCCUGCAUGGGUUGUGGUGGAAAGCUAUUUGCGGUGUGGGAUGGGCUCGCGGCCUAUCAGCUUGGUUGGGGGGGUGACGGCCCACCAAGGCGACGACGGGUA
rnacentral:rRNA from 1 species